AGUUCUCAACCUUCUUCAUUUUUGAUGAAAAGGCUUGGACUUUGGAGGCUUUUGCCGGCCUCUCUUCAUCGAGGUCGGCUCCUCUUAAAUGCAUUAGUAGGAUCCCUUCUUGCUGGUCCUCGACGUGAUAAGACUUUUCUACGUCUGAGGUUCAGCCCUGUAGACCCGCUUCUAACCAUCUAUUGAACCU
rnacentral:misc_RNA from 1 species